GCCGGUGUAGCUCAGUUGGUAGAGCAGCGCAUUCGUAAUGCGAAGGUCGGGAGUUCGACUCUUCUCACCGGCACCA
rnacentral:tRNA from 25 species